GCAGCAGUGUACUAUAGUGGUUAAGGAGCAGGACUCAUAUCCAAAAGGUCGCUGGUUCAAUUCCUGCUUGGGGCA